rnacentral:rRNA from 1 species
UACGUAGGGGGCUAGCGUUGCUCGGAAUCACUGGGCGUAAAGGGUGCGUAGGCGGGUCUUUAAGUCAGGGGUGAAAUCCUGGAGCUCAACUCCAGAACUGCCUUUGAUACUGAAGAUCUUGAGUUCGGGAGAGGUGAGUGGAACUGCGAGUGUAGAGGUGAAAUUCGUAGAUAUUCGCAAGAACACCAGUGGCGAAGGCGGCUCACUGGCCCGAUACUGACGCUGAGGCACGAAAGCGUGGGGAGCAAACGGG